UUUUAUUAACAUUUUCUCUCUCUCUCUCUUUUGUUUUAAAGAUUGGGUCAUGUGGUUUACAUCCAUUUAAAGUCUGUCACCUACAGGGCGGAGGGGGAGGAAACCUUUACAACCUCUUUAUAGUAUGAAGUCCGGAGGGGGUCCAAGGACAAUUUUUUGCCACCCCACAGUUACGCACAGCGACAAAGCCAACAGACAGGGAUGGCAGAAUAAAGCUCCAGAGAAAGGAAACUGGAGUAGACCUGCAUUUUUUUUUCCUUUUCAAAAAGCCACUUUCUGCCAUUCGGAGCUCUUCCGGAGAAGACAGCUGGAGCAGGGACUCUGGGCUAAAAAGAAGAGAGGAAAAGGGAGCCCUUGGUUUCUUCCCAGCCACUGAAGGAGGACGAUCCAAGCAAGUGCCACGCAUGAAGGCCACGAAAGGGUGGGAGGCAAAGAAAACAGGUGUUGUUGCGGGCUGGAAUGCCAAGCCGGGUUGGAUUUGGCUGCAAUACAGUUCUGUUGAACCCAGAAGAUGGCAAUGCUUUUGAAAAAGAUGGAUGGUCCUUCAAAGCCACACAUUCUCAUUCGUCGCUUGCUCCCUUUCCUGUCAGCUUUCUUUUAGAAGAGCAUGAAUCCCCUAGCUUCACCAUCUGGAAUCUGCCCGAGAGGACUGCAGUUGAUGAUGAAACAUAGCAGAAAUCGCUCCAGCUUUAUUCUGUGCAUUCAAGAAUGCUGAUUGACAGGCAAAGGGAUUUUCUCCCAUCUUGUCUUACAAAAUUCACUCCUCAGGCAGCCCUUUGCAUAGAGCCUGACUCUGAUUCGCUGUUUGGGAAACUCCACUUGCCACAACUGGGCUGGAUGAGGAACAAUAAUAUAAAGAUGGAGCAUCUGUGGAUUGGUGAUGGUCAAGUCUGGGAAGCCUGCCCUGGAUGGAAGUGUUUUCUUUGUGAAGAAACAAGUGUGCAGCUUGGAUGUACUCUUAGACUGGAUAUGGAAAGAAUAUUCAAAAAUAUUUGAAAAAUGCUCAAAAUUGGGUUUCUCAUGUGUUGAGAAAACCUGACAAGGAGAAUCUUUGCUGUUCAGGACUUAUUCUGCACAAAAUUGCAAUGAUGUGUUGUUUUUUUUACAGUUAAGAGCAUCAUUAUCACCUUAUUUUUUCUGCUGAAAAUGCUGUUUUCAGUACAAAAUACAAAAACAUGAGAAUUUUGUAUCAAAUAUGAAUUUUGUAUUGAAUAGGCAUCCAAAUUUAGAACUGUACUUAAAUAUAUAUUUGUAUGCACUGAAAAUGUAGUUUUCCAUGCUGAAAAAACAGUUUUCUAUGAAAAAAC